AUUGAACGCUGGCGGCAGGCUUAACACACGCAAGUCGAGCGGAGAUGAGGUGCUUGCACCUUAUCUUAGCGGCGGACGGGUGAGUAAUGCUUAGGAAUCUGCCUAUUAGUGGGGGACAACAUUCCGAAAGGAAUGCUAAUACCGCAUACGUCCUACGGGAGAAAGCAGGGGAUCUUCGGACCUUGCGCUAAUAGAUGAGCCUAAGUCGGAUUAGCUAGUUGGUGGGGUAAAGGCCUACCAAGGCGACGAUCUGUAGCGGGUCUGAGAGGAUGAUCCGCCACACUGGGACUGAGACACGGCCCAGACUCCUACGGGAGGCAGCAGUGGGGAAUAUUGGACAAUGGGGGGAACCCUGAUCCAGCUAUGCCGCGUGUGUGAAGAAGGCCUUAUGGUUGUAAAGCACUUUAAGCGAGGAGGAGGCUACUGAGACUAAUACUCUUGGAUAGUGGACGUUACUCGCAGAAUAAGCACCGGCUAACUCUGUGCCAGCAGCCGCCGUAAAAC
rnacentral:rRNA from 1 species